rnacentral:lncRNA from 1 species
AUUACAGGCGUGAGCCACUGUGCCUGGCAGAUACUUUUCUUUUGUAUGCAUUACUUCACAGAAUUUCUGUGGGUACCUUCUGUUUUCUACAGCAGACCUUUGCUUGCCAUCCAGGGUCUCCUCUGCCCUAUCCUCAGUGUCACUUCAUCCCCCAAGGCGAAGACCAGCCUUGCCCACUGGCAGUAAAGGAAUCAGGAUCAUCUUCAUAAAUUAUCAAGUGUAUCCCUCAGGCCUACUCAAUACUCCCUCCCCAGAGAUAACCAAUGUCACCGAGUUGUUCUGGAUUCUUCUGGAGACAGUCUAUGCAGAUCCAAGCAGAUGACCCAUUUUGAGCACCAUUCAUUGAGAGGCGCCUUUCUUCUGAAGUCUUUUAUCCCAGAACGCUGAAAGCGUUCCCGUGUCCUCCCUGCAAAGAGGAUUCUCCCACACUCCAGCCCAGACCCGGACAGAUUGGCCCCCAUCAGUUCCAGGCCUGCUGAGCGCAGUGGCUUCCUCCUCGGCUUCAGAAGAAGUUUUUGUCGUUUCUUUUUCUUACAUUCUUCA